GCCGGGCGUGGUGGUGCACGCCUGUAAUCUCAGAUACUCAGGAGGCUGAGGUAGGAGAAUCGCUUGAACCCGGGAGGCAGAGGUUGCAGUGAGCCAAGAUCACGCCACUGCACUCCAACCUGGGUGACAAAGUGAGACUCCAUCUCAA
rnacentral:SRP_RNA from 1 species